ACAGGACAAGCGGCAAGGCCGCCGCCAUGCCUGCGGCUGCUUCCGCCUCCAAGCGACGCCCGCCCCCACGAAAGACCGGCCUCCAAUAGGAAGAGCGUCUGAGAAAGGACUUCCGGUGCCGUCCCGGAAACCGGGGGUCUAUGAUCUCCAUUUUACAGAAGAGAAAACUGGAGUACAGAAAGGAAGAUAAUUGCCUAACAUCACAUUGAGUCAUGAAGCCAGGACUAGAGUCCACACCAUCAACCUCAAGAAGGAAGGAAGGAAGGAAGGAAGGAAGGAAGGAAGGAAGGAAGGAAGGAAGGAAGGAAGGAAGGAAAAGGGGAAGAAAGAAAGAAAGAAAGAAAAAAAGAAAGAAAGAAAGAAAGAAAGAAAGAAAGAAAGAAAGAAAGAAAGAAAGAAAGAAAGAAAAAGAAAGAGCUGCCAUCGUUAUGAUUAUAUUUCUGUGCUUUGUCUCCAUUUGAAUUGCCUGUCCCCAUCAUAAAGACCCAGCCACCUCCAGGAGACUUACCUUCUCCCUCUCUGGUGUGCUAUAGUCCCCUGUGCACUUCUGCUACAGCCUGUGUCAUAUUUCCAUUGUGUGUGGCCGUGUCGGCUCCUGGAAGAGCUCUUGGUCACCUUAGUAUUUGUUUCCUAAGCAAGGAGGCUAGCACAUAGUAGGUGCUCAGUAAUGUCUGAACAAACAAAAAUCACAGCACAGUCCCAUAUUGUCCCCACACUGUCAUGCUGUUCAGUGUCAAGUUCUGUGCAUUCCUAGGGACUGCCACAGUGCACACCUUCCAGGGAAUCUUCCCCAAAGCUGUGGCCCCUCCUAUUUCCUCCACAGCAUAGGAUUCUACAGGAUGCGCUUGUCUUCUUCCCCUCCCCCCCAGAGUCUGUGACCAGUCUAGGCAAUAGACAGAGAAGAAGCCACACUGUGGCUUGGAGACUGAAAGCUGGGCCACUUGCCUAGGAGUUGGCUCCGAAUCCCCUUUUCCUCUCCAGGGGCACUGUGUGGCCUCAAAAAACAGUCAGCUGGAGAUGCUGGCUCUGAAGGCUAGCCAGGACCCUGUGGUUUAGCAGAAGAAGAGAUCAUUGUCCAAGGAGGAAGUAGUCCUGGGGUCUCAGCUGACCCUAGACUUUUCCAGGCAGGGCUGGGGCUCAUAGCAGCUGAACUGAAGGCUCCCCAAAGGCUCACAAACAAUUCUAUCUCUCCAGAAGGCUGGAGUCCCUCUCCCCAGGCAAACUCCCUGCCCUAAGCCCCACAGACCUAAACAUCCUGUGCCUGGAGUGCUAAGAGAUUUGUUGACCUGUUGACAGCAACCAAGCAAGUCUAGCUUCCCAUUAUUUGCCUCGGAGGGGAAUAGGGUGCCCUUGGGAGCUGCGAAGCCCUGCAUAGCAGAGCCACGGAGCUCAUAGGCUGCAGCCCAGGAGAAGGCUCAGCCACAGUUGGGCGGCUGAACUUUGCUACUCCAAAGGAAGGGAGAGGGCAAAGACAGAGACCAUGUCUUUUGUGUGCAGCAAAGUCCCAAACAACCCAGAACAACUGCAAAAUUUAACAUGAGACUGAGUCCCGGCCCAGUUUAGUGGAUGAUCUCAACUUGGACACAGAGGCUUUUAGACAAAAGGAGCACAAAACUCCCACAAGUUUCUCACCAGUGCUAGGAAAAGCACUCAAGAGCUGUCACUUACAAUGGCCUCCUGCAGGGGUGGAAGCAGGCUGGGAUGACUGGAAGACUGCAGGCCUGUCACUCACUCAGCCUGGGUGGCACCAGGAGCUUUGGGAUUUAGGCUGAAGGUCACUGAUCCCAUGGGUGGUGUUUGAUGUAUGAAGUGGGGUGGAAUGCUUUAUUUAUUUAUUUAUUUAUUCAUUUAUUUAUUUAUUUGAUGUGAGAAAUGCCUUGAUGCCCCUUAUGGCUGGGUCCUAGAACUCUCCUUUCUUCUUCCACUCCCCAUCCCUCCCUGGACACACUCACAUAGCACCUACACCUGGUAGCUCCGUCUAUUUAUUUUCCCAGCCCAAUCCUCUCCAAACCCCACACUCGGGUCCGAGUGCCUACCCAAUAUGCCCUCUUGCACGUCUCAAAAGCACCUCAAACUCAACACGUCCAAAAACAAAUGUAUGACCUUCUUCCCAAGCCUGGUUCUCUCUGACACUCCCCAUCUGGGGAAAUAACACUCUACAUGGUCCUGUUGCAUGAGGGAGAAACAAUGGUGGCACCCUUAACCCCUUCCUCUCUGACCUACCUGUCAGAUCUUUUGGAACUUGUCUCUCAAACAUCUCUUCAUUCCUUCCACCUUUCUGUAUCCCGUCCACCUCCACCCUCGUCCAUUGCCUGCCUCGUCCAUAGCUGGCUGCCAUCACCUCCUGAUUCCCAGGCAUCCACUCCUCCAGUCAGCAUUGCACAAGGAGCCUCUCCCCCCGCCCCCACCACCUUGCUCCCCCUAGGUGACUCCUUCUUACCCUUGAGGGCUCGGCUCAGCUCAGAUGCCACUUCCUCAAGGGAGAUGUUCCGUGAGUGCUCCCAGUAGGCUAUUAAGUCCUUCCUAGCACUGGUCAUAAUUACAAUUUUACAUUUGGGCCCCCACUAGACUAGACCCCCAUAAAAGCAGCACGGUGCCCCCCCUUUUUUUAUUCUUGUCAUUCUACGUUCCCAAGCCAUGCUCAGUGUCUUAUAUGUGUUAAACAUUGACAUUUAAUAAAUAUUUACUGAAUGAAUGUCAUUUAUUUGUUUAUACCUUGCCUCAACCCAGUCAAGCUGAUCAUUAUUACCAUUAUCUCCUGCAUGGAGUAUUGUGUUAGAUGUCUGUCCUGAGCCUCUCUCCUCCUCCGGUAUAUUCUUUCCACUGCAGCCAGAAUUACCUUUUUAACAAGCAAGUUCAACCACCUGUAAUUCUUCAUUACUCCCCAUAAAGUUCAAAUUCGUUAACGUGACCUCUAACAUGUAAACUGCCAGUUACCAUUCCAAAGACUGUCUUCUUGUUCCUUAGUAACAUACCCCUGAUUUUAACAAGAGAGUAGUGUACCCCUACUAAAGGAUUAUCCUGCCCUCUCCAGUAGCCCUGGUGCUUCUGAGAGGUUUGAAAGGUAGUACAGAAAUCAGAUGCAUUGGUAACUCAGUGACUCGAAAAGGUUACGGUCUUUCCAAAGACCAGAAUUUUCUUUCUUGUAGAUAACGUUGUGUCCCUACGUCUAUAAAAUAUCUGUAAGUGAAACAUUUCUCACGUUAGCAAGCUCUGAUCGGUGAGCUGAAAGUGGACAUCGCUGGACAGAACUCCCAAGAAUGCUUCCUGAAGUGGAAACAGACCGCAGGCUGUGCUGUGCCCAUCCCCAGUUUUCUCUCCGUCUUUCUGCCGGCUUCAGGGACGUGAUGGCUGGCACCGCAGCAGCCAUCAGACAUAAGCUAUCAAUGAGAAUCCCAGCCGUGUGGCUGGGACGGCUGAGAAAAAGAGCCAAAACGGACUCAGGCGCCCAAAAACUCUGGAGCAGUCAUACAGCCCUGUGCUUUGGGCUUCUUUUCUAUAAGGAAAGAAAACUGUAACUUAAGUCUCUGAUCUUUUACUAGCAGCCAAACUGAAACUUGAUACAGGCUUCAAAGUAUUUCAUGACUAACCUUUGUCAGUCUUACCUCUCCCUUCCUCUCAUCCUCAAAUUCCACAGUUCGGCCAAGCUGAAUGUUUCAGUUCCUCGGAGCUGUUUCUCCCCAUUUAAAGUCUUCUCAAGCUGCUCUUUCUGCCUGGAUUACAGCCCCCAUUUGGCAAACUCCCACGCAGCCUCUGGAUCUCAGCUUAAAACUCAGCUCUUCAAUGACCAUACGAGCUAUUUUCUGACACCAGAGUUGCUCGCUCAUCACGCUGCUUAUUACACUGUGAAUUGUGGUAUUUACCUGAUUUUCUCCUCCAGAGACAGUAAACUGCAUGCAGGCAGGGAGACAGCCUGUCUUGUUCAAAACUGCAUUCCAAGUGUCUGGCAUAGGUAUUCAAGAAAUACUUCCCGAAGAUACAGAGUACAUGAGAGAUGGGGACACGGUGUUGGCUAGAGAACUGAAAAAAUACAGCGGGUUUGAUAUCUCUGCAGUGUGAUAAAUGAAGGGGGAUGGUUGGUAUAUUAUUAUCUGUUUAUUACUUAUUCCGUGCCCUGUUCCCAAACAGGGGGUGGGGGAGCAGGGGUACCACCGCACGGGGAGUGCUAGGAGUUCACGUCCACUUAGAGACACUGGUGUAGGAGACUCUAUCAGAAGACUGCAGGAUAGUCUGGGGGAGGCAG